AGUAUGGGAGUGAGAAUGUUGGCAUGAGUAGCGAGAUGUGGGUGAGAAUCCCACAGGCCGUAAACCCAAGGUUUCCAGGGGAAGGUUCGUCCGCCCUGGGUUAGUCGGGACCUAAGCUGAGGCCGAAAGGCGUAGGUGAUGGACAACAGGUUGAUAUUCCUGUACUACCGAUAACCGUUUGAGAGAAGGGAUGACACAGUAGGAUAAGCUAAGCACACUGUUGGUUAUGUGUGCCCAAGCAUUGAGGCAGUCAAAGUAGGCAAAUCCGCUUUGAUAAUGCUGGGAUGUGAUGGGGAGCGAAAUUUAGUAGCGAAGUAGCUGAUUUCACACUGUCAAGAAAAGUCUCUAUCGAGGUUAAAGGUACCCGUACCGCAAACCGACACAGGUGGGUGAGGAGAGUAUCCUAAGGCCAGCGAGAGAACUGUUGUUAAGGAACUCGGCAAAAUGACCCCGUAACUUA
rnacentral:rRNA from 1 species